UAGCUAAUCCUGGUCGGACAUCAGGAGGUUAGUGCAAUGGCAUAAGCUAGCUUGACUGCGAGCGUGACGGCGCGAGCAGGUGCGAAAGCAGGUCAUAGUGAUCCGGUGGUUCUGAAUGGAAGGGCCAUCGCUCAACGGAUAAAAGGUACUCCGGGGAUAACAGGCUGAUACCGCCCAAGAGUUCAUAUCGACGGCGGUGUUUGGCACCUCGAUGUCGGCUCAUCACAUCCUGGGGCUGAAGUAGGUCCCAAGGGUAUGGCUGUUCGCCAUUUAAAGUGGUACGCGAGCUGGGUUUAGAACGUCGUGAGACAGUUCGGUCCCUAUCUGCCGUGGGCGCUGGAGAAUUGAGGGGGGCUGCUCCUAGUACGAGAGGACCGGAGUGGACGCAUCACUGGUGUUCGGGUUGUCAUGC
rnacentral:rRNA from 1 species